UGGUCAAGUUAUUAAGGGUGCAGGGCGGAUGCCUUGGCACUAGGAGCCGAUGAAGGACGUGAUAAGCUGCGAUAAGCUUCGGGGAGUUGCACGUAAAACUUUGAUCCGAAGAUUUCCGAAUGAGGAAACUCACUUAGAGUAAUGUCUAAGUAUCAUUAAGUGAAUACAUAGCUUAAUGAGGGGAACUCAGGGAACUGAAACAUCUAAGUACCUGAAGGAAGAGAAAGAAAUUCGAUUCCGUAAGUAGCGGCGAGCGAAACGCGGAUUAGCCCAAAACCAAUAAAGUUUUCUUUAUUGGGGUUGCGGACAUAUCAUAACGAAGAGGUAUCGUAAUUGAAGAGGUUUGGGAAAGACCCACCACAGAGGUAAUAGUCCUGUAUGUUAAACGAGAAGACUUCAGAUAUGAUCCAGAGUACCACGGGACACGUGAAACCCUGUGGGAAGCAGGAGGGACCACCCUCCAAGGCUAAAUACUAAGUGACCGAUAGCGUAUAGUACCGUGAGGGAAAGGUGAAAAGAACCCCGGGAGGGGAGUGAAAUAGAACCUGAAACCCUGCACUUACAAGCUGUGGAAGCACAUUUCUUGUGUGACCGCGUACUUUUUGUAGAACGGGCCAACGAGUUACGUUAAGUAGCAAGGUUAAGCACUUAAGGUGCGGAGCCGUAGCGAAAGCGAGUUUUAACUGAGCGUUCAGUUAUUUGACGUAGACCCGAAACCGGGCGACCUACCCAUGAGCAGGAUGAAGCGAAAGUAAAAUUUCGUGGAGGUCCGAACCCACGAGCGUUGAAAAGCUCGGGGAUGACUUGUGGGUAGCGGUGAAAUUCCAAUCGAGCCCGGAGAUAGCUGGUUCUCCCCGAAAUAGCUUUAGGGCUAGCCUCAAGGUGAGAAUACGGAGGUAGAGCACUGAAUGUCCUAGGGGGUAUUGCACCUACCGAAGACUAUCAAACUCCGAAUGCCGUCAUCUUAUACUUGGGAGUCAGACUGUGGGUGAUAAGAUUCAUAGUCGAAAGGGCAACAGCCCAGAUCGUCAGCUAAGGUCCCUAAAUGUAAGUUAAGUGGUAAAGGAUGUGGGAUUGCACAGACAACCAGGAUGUUGGCUUAGAAGCAGCCACUCAUUCAAAGAGUGCGUAAUAGCUCACUGGUCGAGUGAUCCUGCGCCGAAGAUUUCCGGGGCUAAAACUU
rnacentral:rRNA from 1 species